CGGACGGGUGAGUAACGCGUAAAGAACUUGCCUUACAGACUGGGACAACAUUUGGAAACGAAUGCUAAUACCGGAUAUUAUGACUGAGUCGCAUGAUUUGGUUAUGAAAGCUAUAUGCGCUGUGAGAGAGCUUUGCGUCCCAUUAGUUAGUUGGUGAGGUAACGGCUCACCAAGACGAUGAUGGGUAGCCGGCCUGAGAGGGUGAACGGCCACAAGGGGACUGAGACACGGCCCUUACUCCUACGGGAGGCAGCAGUGGGGAAUAUUGGACAAUGGACCAAGAGUCUGAUCCAGCAAUUCUGUGUGCACGAUGAAGUUUUUCGGAAUGUAAAGUGCUUUCAGUUGGGAAGAAGAAAGUGACGGUACCAACAGAAGAAGCGACGGCUAAAUACGUGCCAGCAGCCGCGGUAAUACGUAUGUCGCAAGCGUUAUCCGGAUUUAUUGGGCGUAAAGCGCGUCUAGGCGGCAUAGUAAGUCUGAUGUGAAAAUGCGGGGCUCAACCCCGUAUUGCGUUGGAAACUGCUAAACUAGAGUACUGGAGAGGUAGGCGGAACUACAAGUGUAGAGGUGAAAUUCGUAGAUAUUUGUAGGAAUGCCGAUGGGGAAGCCAGCCUACUGGACAGAUACUGACGCUAAAGCGCGAAAGCGUGGGUAGCAAACAGGAUUA
rnacentral:rRNA from 1 species